rnacentral:tRNA from 1 species
GCUUUAAUAAUUUAUAUUAAAAUAUUGGUCUUGUAAAUCAAAAAAAAGAAAAUAUCUUUUAAAGCU